AUGACACGAAGUAAACUUCAUGUUGUUGAAUGCAAUGAUGAAUACAUGACGAAGGAACAUAUUGAACAUGAGAAUGCCAUGCGUAACGAUGCUGAUUCAUCUCAUAUUCAACCAUCAUCUUGUAAUGGCGAAGAAGGCUUGACUGAUAGUGAUGAUGAAGAGGACCAGGAUGACACUGUUGCUAAUGAACAAGAUGAAAAUGGAGAAACAACCAAGCGUGGCAGGACAAUGCUAAAAGAAAUAUGGAAUCUUCCAAAAGGGCAGAGAAUUGUGGUCCAGUGCAAUGAGCUAAACCAGCCAGUUGGAAAAGAAGCUGGACGUCUUGCGAAUUUUCUUGGCACGGUUGCUAGGAAUGGAAAAUUGUGUAGUUUGAGCUACAAGGACCGGAGAAAACUAACAUGA
rnacentral:rRNA from 1 species